rnacentral:rRNA from 1 species
AUUUGGAGAGGAUGCUUUUGGCGCGGCGCCGUCCGAGUUCCUUGGAACAGGACGCCGGAGAGGGUGAGAGCCCCGUACGGACGGACGCCUAGCCUCUACAAAGCUCCUUCGACGAGUCGAGUAGUUUGGGAAUGCUGCUCUAAAUGGGAGGUAAAUUUCUUCUAAAGCUAAAUACCGGCCAGAGACCGAUAGCGCACAAGUAGAGUGAUCGAAAGAUGAAAAGCACUUUGAAAAGAGGGUUAAACAGUACGUGAAAUUGUUGAAAGGGAAGCGCCUGUGACCAGACUUGCGCCCCGCGGACCAACCGGCGCUCCGCGCCGGUGCACUCCGCGGGGUGCAGGCCAGCAUCGGUUUUCCCAGGGGGACAAAGGCCGCGGGAACGUAGCUCCCUCGGGAGUGUUACAGCCCGCGGCGGCAUGCCCCUGGGGGGACCGAGGACCGCGCUUCGGCAAGGAUGCUGGCGUAAUGGUCACCAGCGACCCGUCUUGAAACACGGAUCAAGGAGUCAAGCAUUGGGGCGAGUGUUUGGGUGUCAAACCCGCACGCGAAAUGAAAGUAAACGCAGGGGAGAGCUUCGGCGCACCCCCGACCGAUCCUGAUGUCUUCGGAUGGAUUUGAGUAAGAGCCUUACCGCUUGGACCCGAAAGAUGGUGAACUAUGCCUGUGUAGGGUGAAGCCAGAGGAAACUCUGGUGGAGG